AUGGUUUCAGGGGCAGAGCUGUUGGUAGAUGUGCCCACUCGUGACCUGGUGCUCAAAGCAAAUGUGGAAACUGAACAGCCAGAAGAAACCUUCCCUAACACUGAAACCAAUGGUGAAUUUGAUAAACGCCCUGCAGAAGAUAUGGAAGAGGAACAAGUAUUUAAAAGAUCUGGAAACACUGAUGAGAUGGUUGAAUUACGCAUUCUGCUUCAGAGCAAGAAUGCUGGGGCAGUGAUUGGAAAAGGAAGCAAGAAUAUUAAGGCUCUCCCUACAGACUACAAUGCCAGUGUUUCAAUUCCAGACAGCAGUAGCCCCAAGCCUAUAUUGAGUAUUAGUGCUGAUAUUGAAACAAUUGGAGAAAUUAUAAGGAAAAUCAUCCAUACCUUGGAAGAGGGCCUGCAGUUGCCAUCACUCACUGCAACCAGCCAGCUCCUGCUCGAAUCUGAUGCUGUGGAAUGCUUAAACUACCAACACCAUAAAGGAAGUGACUUUGACUGCGAGUUGAGGCUGUUGAUUCAUCAGAGUCUAGCAGCAGGAAUCACUGGGGUCAAAGAUGCUAAAAUCAAAGAACUGAGAAAACACUCAAACAACCAUCACGCUUUUCCAGGAAUGUUGUCCUCAUUCCACUGACAGAGUUAUUCUUAUUGGAGGAAAAUCCGAUAGGGUUGUAGAGUGCAUAAAGAUCAUCCUUGAUCUUAUAUCUGAGUCUCCCAUCAAAGGACAUGCACAGCCUUAUGAUCCCAAUUUUUACGAUGAAACCUAUGAUUAUGGUGGUUUUACAGCAGUGUUUGAUGACCGCCGUGGACGCCCAGUGGGAUUUCUGAUGCAGGGAAGAGGUGGUUUUGAUAGAAUGCCCCCUGGUCAUGGUGGGCGUCACAUGCCUCCAUCUAGAAGAAAUUAUGAUGAUAUGAGCGCUCGUCGAGGACCACCUUCUCCUCCUCCUGGACAAAGUGGCUGGGGUGGUAGCAGAGCUCAGAAUCUUCCUCUUCCUCCACCACCUAGAGAGGGAGAUCUCAUGACCUAUAACAGAAAAGGGAGACCUGGAGACCGUUACGACGGCAUGGUUGAUUUCAGUGCUGAUGAAACUUGGGACUCUGCAGUAGAUCCAUGGAGUGCAUCAGAAUGGCAGAUGGCUUAUGAACCACAGGGUGGCUCCGGAUAUGAUUAUUCCUAUGCAGGGGAUGGUGGCUCAUAUGGUGAUCUUGGUGGACCUAUUAUUACUACACAAGUAACUAUUCCCAAAGAUUUGUCUGGAUCUAUUAUUGGCAAAGGUGGUCAGUGGAUUAAACAAAUCUGUCAUGAGUAGGGAGCUUUGAUCAAAAUUGAUGAGCCUUUAGAAGGAUUCGAAGAUCAGAUCAUUACCAUUACAGGAACACAGGACCAGAUACAGAAUGCACAGUAUUUGUGAAGCAGUAUUCUGGAAAAUUUUUGUAA